CUCUGUUUUGCUUCCAAGUCAUCUGGAUCAGGUUCAUCAAUAAUCAUGCUUUCAGCAGUUUUCUUUCUGGAUAUUUCCUGUGAGGCCACUAAAUCAUCAUCAGGAUCAGGCUCUGUCCGCAAAGUUAUGUUUGCUGGAGAUUCAUCAGGAUCAGGUUCUCUGUAAUCCUUAUCCAGUGAAGUAUAUUCCAUGCUUUCAGACACUAGAGAAAUGUUCUGAUCUGGUCCCUGGGUGUUUCUUUCUCCUGAAUUGCUCUGUUUUGUUUUUGAGUCAUCUGGAUCUGGUUCAUCAAUGGUUUUGCUAAGCUGAAUCCCACCGUUCAAAGUCUUCAUCAGCUGAGGGUGAUUACUCUGAGAAUCAUCAGGAUCAGGUUCAUACUUAAUUUGUUCAGAAGAAUGUUCAUCAGAAUCUGGCUCAUAAUCAAGUUUCAACUGAACCUUGUGCGGAGUUUCAAUGUCUAUAUUUUCUUCUCUUGCAAGACCAUUGUUCUGAUAUGGUCCCUGGAUGUUUCUGUAUCCUGAAUUGCGCUGUUUUGUUUCUGAGUCAUCUGGAUCUGGUUCAUCAAUGAUCUUGCUUAGCUGAAUCCCACUUCUCAAAGUCUCCAUCAGCAGAGGGUGAUUACUCUGGGAAUCAUCAGGAUAAGGUUCAUACAUACUUUGAUCACCAGAAUGUUCAUCAGGAUCUGGCUCAUAAUCAGGUUCCAAAUGAACCUUGUGUGGGUUUUCGAUGUCCAUAUUUUCUUCUCUCCCAUGAUCUAUGAUAUCAGAUCUAUCAUUAAUGCUGAAACUGGAAUCAUCAGGGUCAGGUUCUUUAUAUUUGCCAUAAUCUUCCAAACUGUUA
rnacentral:lncRNA from 1 species